UACGGAGGGUGCAAGCGUUGUUCGGAAUCACUGGGCGUAAAGGGCGUGUAGGCGGUCCGCUAAGUCUGAUGUGAAAGCCCGAGGCUUACCCUCGGAAGUGCAUUGGAGACUGGCGGACUGGAGUCCCGGAGAGGAGGGUGGAAUUCCUGGUGUAGCGGUGAAAUGCGUAGAUAUCAGGAGGAACACCGGUGGCGAAGGCGGCCCUCUGGACGGUGACUGACGCUGAGGAGCGAAAGCGUGGGGAGCGAACAGG
rnacentral:rRNA from 1 species